rnacentral:rRNA from 1 species
AAAGGAAUUGACGGGGGAACACACAAGCAGUGGAUUAUCUAGAUUAAUUGGAUAAUAAGCCAAAAAUCUCACCUAAACUUGACAUGUACUAUGUCCUAUGUGAAAGCAUAGUAGUCCAAGUAAUUGGACGUGGUACACAGAUGGUGCAUGGUCGUCGUCAGCUCGUGCCGCAAGGUGUCUAGUUAAGUCUAGAAACGAGCGCAACCCUCAUCUUUAGUUAGAAUGUCUAAAGAGACUGCUUCGGUAACGAAGAGGAAGGAGAGGAUGACGUCAGAUCCUCAUGCCUCUUACGUUUAGGGCUUCAUAGAUAAUACAAUGGGUGGUACAACGAGAAGCUAAGCCGCGAGGUGGAGCAAAACUCUAAAACCAUCCUUAGUUCGGAUUGUAGUCUGGAACUCGACUACAUGAAGUUGGAAUUGCUAGUAAUGGCGGGUCAGAAUACCGCCGUGAAUAUGUCCCUGUUCCUUGCACACACCGCCCGU